UACGUAGGGGGCAAGCGUUGUCCGGAAUCAUUGGGCGUAAAGCGCGCGUAGGCGGCUCAGUAAGUCCGCUCUGAAAGCUUGGGGCUUAACCCCAAGAGGCGGGCGGAUACUGCUGGGCUCGAGUCCGGAAGAGGCGAGUGGAAUUCCUGGUGUAGCGGUGAAAUGCGCAGAUAUCAGGAGGAACACCGGUGGCGAAGGCGGGUCUCUGGGCCGAUACUGACGCUGAGGAGCGAAAGCGUGGGGAGCGAACAGG
rnacentral:rRNA from 1 species